rnacentral:rRNA from 1 species
AGUUCGAACGGCAGCACGGGAGCAAUCCUGGUGGCGAGUGGCGAACGGGUGAGUAAUAUAUCGGAACGUGCCCAGUCGUGGGGGAUAACGUAGCGAAAGCUACGCUAAUACCGCAUACGAUCUACGGAUGAAAGCGGGGGACUCGCAAGAGCCUCGCGCGAUUGGAGCGGCCGAUAUCAGAUUAGGUUGUUGGUGAGGUAAAAGCUCACCAAGCCUGCGAUCUGUAGCUGGUCUGAGAGGACGACCAGCCACACUGGAACUGAGACACGGUCCAGACUCCUACGGGAGGCAGCAGUGGGGAAUUUUGGACAAUGGACGAAAGUCUGAUCCAGCAAUGCCGCGUGCAGGACGAAGGCCUUCGGGUUGUAAACUGCUUUUGUACGGAACGAAACGGUCUGCUUUAAUACAGUGGGCUAAUGACGGUACCGUAAGAAUAAGCACCGGCUAACUACGUGCCAGCAGCCGCGGUAAUACGUAGGGUGCAAGCGUUAAUCGGAAUUACUGGGCGUAAAGCGUGCGCAGGCGGUUAUAUAAGACAGAUGUGAAAUCCCUGGGCUCAACCUAGGAACUGCAUCUGUGACUGUAUAGCUAGAGUACGGUAGAGGGGGAUGGAAUUCCGCGUGUAGCAGUGAAAUGCGCAGAUAUGCGGAGGAACACCGAUGGUGAAGGCAAUCCCCUGGACCUGUACUGACGCUCAUGC